rnacentral:misc_RNA from 1 species
GUGUGCACUAUUGGCCCUGCUACUUGCGGCUUUGAUCAGCUCGAGGCGCUCGCUGUUGGCGGUAUGAAUGUCGCUAGGAUCAAUAUGUGCCAUGGGACUCGAGACUGGCAUCGGACGGUCAUUGAACGCGUGCGAAGGCUCAAUGAAGAGAAGGGUUAUGCUGUCGCUAUCAUGAUGGAUACUGAAGGGAGUGAAAUUCACAUGGGUGAU